rnacentral:rRNA from 1 species
GAUGAACGCUGGCGGCGUGCUUAACACAUGCAAGUCGAACGAUGAAGCCCAGCUUGCUGGGUGGAUUAGUGGCGAACGGGUGAGUAACACGUGAGUAACCUGCCCUUAACUCUGGGAUAAGCCUGGGAAACUGGGUCUAAUACCGGAUAGGAGCGUCCACCGCAUGGUGGGUGUUGGAAAGAUUUAUCGGUUUUGGAUGGACUCGCGGCCUAUCAGCUUGUUGGUGAGGUAAUGGCUCACCAAGGCGACGACGGGUAGCCGGCCUGAGAGGGUGACCGGCCACACGGGGAUUGAGAAAGGGCCCGGACCCCAACGGGGGGAAGCGGGGGGGAAUUUUGCACAAUGGGCGCAAGCCUGUAGCAGGGACGCCGGGGGGGGGAAGACGGCCUUCGGGUGGGAACCCUUUUUCAUUAGGGAAGAAGCGAAAGGACCGGAACCUGCAAAAGAAGCACCGGCUAACUACGG